rnacentral:rRNA from 1 species
AAUCAACGCUGGCGGCGUGCCUCAGACAUGCAAGUCGAACGCGAAAGUCCCCUUCGGGGGACAAGUAGAGUGGCGCACGGGUGAGUAACACGUAGGUAAUCUACCUUCGGAUGGGGAAUAACAAUCGGAAACGGUUGCUAAUACCGCAUAAUGCAGCGGCACCUAAUGGUGACAGUUGUUAAAGCGGGGGAUCGAAAGACCUCGCGUCUGAAGAGGAGCCUGCGGCGGAUUAGCUAGUUGGUAAGGUAAUGGCUUACCAAGGCGACGAUCCGUAACCGGCCUGAGAGGGCGGUCGGUCACACUGACACUGACAUACGGGUCAGACUCCUACGGAGGCAGCAGUCGGGAAUUUUGGGCAAUGGGCGAAAGCCUGACCCAGCAACGCCGCGUGAAGGAUGAAAUCCCU